rnacentral:tRNA from 1 species
UCCGUGAUGGCUCAGCGGGUAAAGAAUCUGCCUGCGAUGCAGGAGACAUCAGAGACUCAGGUUCAAUCCCUGUUUGAGGAA